rnacentral:rRNA from 1 species
UUAAUAAUAGAAAAGAUUAAAAAUAAAACUAAAAGGACGCGGUAACCUUGACCGUGAUAAUGUAGCAUAAUCACUCGCCAUUUAAUUGAUGGAUAGUAUGAAUGGUUGAACGAAUAUUCCACUGUCUUAAAGAGAAUUACAAGAAAUUGAAAUAAUAGUUAAGAUGCUAUUUAAAACUGUAAGACGAAAAGACCCUAUAGAGCUUAACUAUAAUCUCUUUAUUAACCAAGAAAAAUAAUUUUCUUAUUUAAAAAGAUUGGUAGUUUAGUUGGGGCGACUGUCUUCUAAAAAGAACGAAGACAAGCAAUGUUAAUAAAAAACUUAUUGUAUAAUAAAUUUAUUUAACAAUUAUUAAAGUAGGCUAUAUUGACCCGUUUUUACUAAAAAACAAAGAAAAACGAUCAAUUGAUAAAAGCUACCUUAGGGAUAACAGGAUAAUUUCAUUUUAGAGCUCAUAUCGAAAAUGAAGUUUGUCACCUCUAUGUUGAAUUAAGAUAUCC